AUCCAGCUGACGAGUCAUAAAAAGGACGAAACGCGCGGCCUGGAU
rnacentral:hammerhead_ribozyme from 1 species